UACAGGGGGUGCAAACGUUGCUCGGAAUCAUUGGGCGUAAAGCGCACGUAGGCGGUUCGUUAUGUCGGAUGUGAAAGCCCUUGGCUUAACCGAGGAAGUGCAUCCGAAACUGGCGAGCUAGAGUACUAAAGAGGAUCGCGGAAUUCCCGGUGUAGAGGUGAAAGUCGUAGAUAUCGGGAGGAACACCGGUGGCGAAGGCGGCGAUCUGGGUAGAUACUGACGCUGAGGUGCGAAAGCGUGGGGAGCAAACAGG
rnacentral:rRNA from 1 species